GACGAACGCUGGCGGCGUGCUUAACACAUGCAAGUCGAACGGAAAGGCCCUGCUUUUGUGGGGUGCUCGAGUGGCGAACGGGUGAGUAACACGUGAGUAACCUGCCCUUGACUUUGGGAUAACUUCAGGAAACUGGGGCUAAUACCGGAUAGGAGCUCCUGCUGCAUGGUGGGGGUUGGAAAGUUUCGGCGGUUGGGGAUGGACUCGCGGCUUAUCAGCUUGUUGGUUGGGUAGUGGCUUACCAAGGCUUUGACGGGUAGCCGGCCUGAGAGGGUGACCGGCCACAUUGGAACUGAGAUACGGCCCAGUCUCCUACGGGAGGCAGCAGUGGGGAAUAUUGCACAAUGGGCGGAAGCCUGAUGCAGCAACGCCGCGUGCGGGAUGACGGCCUUCGGGUUGUAAACCGCUUUCGCCUGUGACGAAGCGUGAGUGACGGUAAUGGAUAAAGAAGCACCGGCUAACUACGUG
rnacentral:rRNA from 1 species